rnacentral:miRNA from 1 species
GUAAGUGCACCAGAUUGGGAA